rnacentral:rRNA from 1 species
GAUGAACGCUAGCGGCAGGCCUAACACAUGCAAGUCGAGGGGCAGCACAUAAAGUGGUUUACUACUUUUGGUGGCGACCGGCGGACGGGUGCGUAACGCGUAUGCAACCUGCCUCCAACAGGGGGAUAACGGAGAGAAAUUUCCACUAAUACCCCAUAAUAUCAGAAUCGGCAUCGGUUUUGGUUGAAAACUCCGGUGGUUGGAGAUGGGCAUGCGUUGUAUUAGAUAGUUGGUGAGGUAACGGCUCACCAAGUCAACGAUACAUAGGGGGACUUGGAGGUUAGCCACCCACACUGGUACUGAGACACGAACCAGACUCCUACGGGAGGCAGCAGUGAGGAAUAUUGGUCAAUGGGGGCAACCCUGAACCAGCCAUGCCGCGUGCAGGAAGACGGCUCUAUGAGUUGUAAACUGCUUUUACAAGGGGAUAAAUCGGUGUACGUGUACACCGUUGAAGGUACCUUGGGAAUAAGGAUCGGCUAACUCCGUGCCAGCCGCCGCGGUAA